CUCAAGCCACCCCUGUUCUUCAGACAGCUGUCCCAAGUCCUCUUCUGCCCCUUUCCUUAACAGCAAUUUUCCCACGGGAAGCUUCUCAGUCCUUUCCAGAAAUGGACCCCAGCAGCCAGAUCCUGGGACUCUCUACUUCCAGCAUUGAGGAGCAACAAAUAUGAAAAGCUGCCUUCUCAUUCCAUGGGACUUGGGGCCAGCCAGUCUUCCUUGUGUAAGCUGCCUUCUGCUUAGCCAUGCAAAUCACUCAUCAAAUGUUCCGGCAGUCACAGUAUAGCUGGUACUGCCCACCAGCCCAAAUGAGCCCUGUUAUUGAACUGGAACCCCCAGGUGCACAGAGCCUCUGGGGAACCCCCUACCACCACCCCAGGCUCCUGGAAGUGAAACCUUGUACCUGGAGGAUUAAUCUGCCCUUCUUCCUCACCCAUCCC